UACGAAGGGGGCUAGCGUUGCUCGGAAUUACUGGGCGGAAAGCGCACGUAGGCGGAUUGCUAAGUCGGGGGUGAAAUCCUGGAGCUCAACUCCAGAACUGCCUUCGAUACUGGCGAUCUCGAGUUCGGGAGAGGUGAGUGGAACUGCGAGUGUAGAGGUGAAAUUCGUAGAUAUUCGCAAGAACACCAGUGGCGAAGGCGGCUCACUGGCCCGGUACUGACGCUGAGGUGCGAAAGCGUGGGGAGCAAACAGG
rnacentral:rRNA from 1 species